UACGGAGGGUGCGAGCGUUAAUCGGAAUUACUGGGCGUAAAGCGUGCGCAGGCGGUUCGUUGUGUCGGCGGUGAAAGCCCCGGGCUUAACCUGGGAAUGGCCGUCGAAACUGGCGAACUGGAGUGUGGCAGAGGGGGGUGGAAUUCCGCGUGUAGCAGUGAAAUGCGUAGAGAUGCGGAGGAACACCGAUGGCGAAGGCAGCCCCCUGGGCUGACACUGACGCUCAGGCACGAAAGCGUGGGGAGCAAACAGG
rnacentral:rRNA from 1 species